rnacentral:rRNA from 1 species
GUGCACGCUGGCGGUAGGCCUAACCCCUGCAAGUCGAACGGCAGCACCGUAAGCGCUUGCUCUUACGGGUGGCGAGUGGCGGACGGGUGAGGAAUACAUCGGAAUCUACUUUUUCGUGGGGGAUAACGUAGGGAAACUUACGCUAAUACCGCAUACGACCUACGGGUGAAAGCAGGGGAUCUUCGGACCUUGCGCGAUUGAAUGAGCCGAUGUCGGAUUAGCUAGUUGGCGGGGUAAAGGCCCACCAAGGCGACGAUCCGUAGCUGGUCUGAGAGGAUGAUCAGCCACACUGGAACUGAGACACGGUCCAGACUCCUACGGGAGGCAGCAGUGGGGAAUAUUGGACAAUGGGCGCAAGCCUGAUCCAGCCAUACCGCGUGGGUGAAGAAGGCCUUCGGGUUGUAAAGCCCUUUUGUUGGGAAAGAAAAGCAGCAGGUUAAUACCCCGCUGUUCUGACGGUACCCAAAGAAUAAGCACCGGCUAACUUCGUG